CAGUCUGGAGUGCAGUGGCACGAUCUCGGCUCACUGCAACCUCCGCCUCCUGGGUGCAAGCAGUUCUCCUGUCUCGCCUCACCUGGUGAUGGUGAUGAUAGUGAUGAUGAUGGUGGAGGUGAUGAUGAUGAUGGUGUGGUGAUGGUGAUGGUGGUGGUAGUGAUGAUGGUUGAGGUGAUGAUGGUGUGGCAUUGUGUUGGUGAUAAUGGUGGUGGUGAUGAUAGUGGUUGAGGAGUUGAUAAUGAUGGUGUGGCAAUGUUGGUGAUGGUGAUGGUGGUGAAGGCCAUGGUGAUGAUGUCACUCUUACAAGGGUAAGUUCUUUUUUUUCCUCUUUUAUUGAGUUAAAAUUUACAUAGCAUAAUAUUAAUCAUUUUAAAGUUAACAAUUCAGUGGUGCUUAGUAAAUUCACAAUGCUAUGCAACCGUCGCCUCUAUCUAGCUUCAAAAUAUUUCAAUUUCCAAAGGAAACUCUGUACCCACUAAACUGUAACUCCUCAUUGCUCUUUUCU
rnacentral:lncRNA from 1 species